rnacentral:rRNA from 1 species
GAUCAUGGCUCAGGAUGAACGCUAGCUACAGGCUUAACACAUGCAAGUCGAGGGGCAGCAUGAACUUAGCUUGCUAAGUUUGAUGGCGACCGGCGCACGGGUGAGUAACACGUAUCCAACCUUCCGUUUACUCAGGGAUAGCCUUUCGAAAGAAAGAUUAAUACCUGAUAGUAUGGUGAGAUUGCAUGAUAGCACCAUUAAAGACUUAUUGGUAAACGAUGGGGGUGCGUUCCA